rnacentral:rRNA from 1 species
CACGUAGGCACCAAGCGUUGUCCGGAUUUAUUGGGCGUAAAGAGCUUGUAGGUGGUUUGUCGCGUUGUUCGUGAAAUCUCACGGCUCAACUGUGAGCGUGCGGGCGAUACGGGCAGACUAGAGUACUGCAGGGGAGACUGGAAUUCCUGGUGUAGCGGUGGAAUGCGCAGAUAUCAGGAGGAACACCGGUGGCGAAGGCGGGUCUCUGGGCAGUAACUGACGCUGAGAAGCGAAAGCGUGGGGAGCGAACAGG